rnacentral:lncRNA from 1 species
CACAUCCAAAGAGUCCAGGUAGCCACAGAGAAGAAUAGAUUGUUUUCGCUAGUUUCAUAAGUGAAAGUCAGCCUGGCAUCCUACUUUAGCUAGAAAACAACAUCAAACAAUGUAUAGUUUUGUGGGCCAAGAAGUUUAUGAGUAAAGAACAGAUCAAGAGAUAGGAAGUCUGUCUCCUAGCAUCACAUUGGCAACUAUGUACCUGUUUGAGCUUGGCACGCUGGUGUAUCUUCUUAGGGUGACUGACCUCCUCGUCUCAAGAUGGGUGCCACAGCUGAUGCCCAGAUGUUUAGGAAGACUUCCAGAGCAAAAGGGGACACAUUACCCAGGAUAGGAAGGAAUGGGGGCCAUGGUUCUGGUCACCGGCUAGUGCAAGGCGGUUUACACCUGGCUAGCUUAGAAGAAUGAGGCCGUGGGUACAGGAACUGCUCCAGGCGAGACUACCUCCCCAGGGAAACAGCACCAGAAAGAAGGUGUACAGUUUUCAUCAGAUUCUCAAAGUUGUCUUAAUCUUCAGCAUGUUAAGAAUCACUGUCUUGGAGAUAAGCUAUAUCGUCCACCUCAUUUCACCAGUCGAGAAACUGCCCACCGCCUCCCAAACCUGAAUGAUUAAGCAACUUGCCUGACAUUCUCCAUGAGUGUAAGGCAGAUCCCAGGCAUGGCCAAAAGUCGGUAGACUUUCAGGAACAUAGGAAUUAGAACCAUCCCCACCAACACCAGUAUCCUCUGGACCUUUCAGGCCAACGAUAGACACUAAAUUUAGUUUUUAAAAAUAUUGGUUUUCACCAUAACUUGUAAGUGGCUCACUGACAUUGUUGAGGAGGCAGGAUUGCAUCAGAGAAACACUGCAUUACUCGGGUUUACCAUCACCCACUUGGCCCUGAUUUAGGACAGAGGCUGCGUAUGUGCACGAAUAAACACUCCCUUCCUCCUGUACUGCAUCCUGCUCACGAGUUUGGUGCCUGUGGCAAGUGUUUGGUCUCCUUUAAUGAAGCCCUGGAGUUGGGGAGAUGCUGUCUCCUUUUGUUUCGUGGAGGAGUGCUGCCAUAUCUAGCCCUGAGAUCUGAAACCUCUACCACAGUUCUCGUCCAACACGGCUUUCAGGUGCGGGGCGUUUGCACAACAGUCUCUUGGACGAUAAUGGAGAAGAUAGAAUUUCACAGAUCAGAAGGAAGUGGCAUGAGUGGAAACCUGCAGAGGUUGAGUUUCCAUGCUCUUCCGCCCUCACCUCAUCUCCACCCCUCUCCGGGUCUGUCCGUGGGAUGCUUGUCCGCACACGUAACUACAAACUGCAAAGUCUGUAAGUAUUUGUUGUCAGCGAUCCACCAAUUAACAUGUAUUCUCCAUAUACAGUGUGUAAACUGCUUUGUCUUUAGCUAAGUGAG